CCCUCCCUCGGCCCCCUCCUCCAGUCUCUCUAGGGUUUACAUUUGGGCUUUUACACCCUCUUAACACCGAGCCAGCUAGUAUUUUCUUUCCAGUGGCCUGGUUUCUCAACAUAGAGUCCUCGGUGUUACAUAGAGUACAAGGUUUUGUGAAAUGAUCUCUAGAUGGUAUCUUGUUGAAGAAAAACUCCAUUUGGGUUUUGAAAGAUUGAGCAAGGCAGUGAUCUCCAUAUCUAGUGGGGUUCUUAUGUUUAGAAGUAGCUAGCACAGUUGUAGUGAUCUUGAAAAAGCUGUUUGAAAAGAGUUAACGGUAGAAGGAUUUUUAGUCUGUUCUUGCCAGUUUUAAGUACUACCUGUUUCUUCUGUACUUCAACUCUAUAUCCCUCGCAGUUGUAAUUUGCCACACACAUCUAGAUACCUGAUACUCCUUGCUCUCGAAUAUGGCUCCAAAUGGUAGAAAAAGAACAGGAGCAAAAACAACAAGAAGAACCCAGUAUAAGAAGCGGGUUAUGAAGCCCAAGAGCAUUAAAGAAGCUUCAAUAAUUGAGGUUUUGCCUUCUAACUCUUCCACCACCACCACCACAAGCUGCAAUGGUUGUUCAAAGAUUGAUGGCUUAGAUUUUGAGGGUGUUGAUAUCUCUGCAAGUGCAUGCUCUACUCCAAAAGCUGAGAGGUUUCGGAUACCAGAGAUUCAAACAUGUCCACCUGCACCGAGGAAGGAAAGGAUAAUAUCAAAUUGCUCUUUGCAAAGGAGACCGAUUGCUUUCUUUGCUCCUCCCGAUUUGGAGCUCUUCUUCUUCUAUGCAAUUCACGAUGUAUCAGUUUGAAUGUUUGUUCAUAGUAUAUGAUCAAGAUCAUUUCAAUAGUCUUAAGAGGUGAUCCUUAAUAUUUAUUACUUUCAUGUAGUCUUAGCUAGUGCCUUUUAAAUUUUAUGGUUGAAGUAUAGUGUGAUAGUUUGAGAUUUUUGAUUGAGUGCUCUCAGGAGGCAGUUGUUAAUUAGCUUUAGCCUUUUUAUUCUGUUUGCUUGCUAAUUUUAGCCUGGGUUUUCAAUUUGCAGGGUACACUAAUAUACUAAAUUUAGCUGGGGCUGUCCAACUAAAUUUAGCCUUACGCAUGCUGUUCCUUGAGUUUUUAUAUCUUUUUUAGGUGUAUUGCUGACUUUUGGAGUUUGGAGAGUGCAAAUCAAUGGCUUGAAUUAAGGUUCCUGAGUGUGAAAUUAUCAGUUUUUGUGUUUGGUCAACCUCUGAAUGUAAAAGCACAAGUGACUCCUGCUUUUAUGUUCAAAUUAAGUCCCUCCCUGAUCCACUCUACUUUUCCUCACGUUAUUAUUGCUAAGUGAUCACUGUUAACAGACUAAUGGGUCAUAAAUCAAUCAACUGGUUGUCCAAACUACAUGAAAAGAAGUCCAUUCCACCACUUCAGUUGAAUAUUAUGGUUCCCAGGCACACACUAAUGUC